rnacentral:rRNA from 1 species
GACGAACGCUGGCGGCGUGCCUAAUACAUGCAAGUAGAACGCUGAAGCUUGGUGCUUGCACCGAGCGGAUGAGUUGCGAACGGGUGAGUAACGCGUAGGUAACCUGCCUGGUAGCGGGGGAUAACUAUUGGAAACGAUAGCUAAUACCGCAUAAAAUGGAUUAUCGCAUGAUAAUCGAUUGAAAGGUGCAAAUGCAUCACUACCAGAUGGACCCGCGUUGUAUUAGCUAGUUGGUGGGGUAACGGCUCACCAAGGCGACGAUACAUAGCCGACCUGAGAGGGUGAUCGGCCACACUGGGACUGAGACACGGCCCAGACUCCUACGGGAGGCAGCAGUAGGGAAUCUUCGGCAAUGGACGGAAGUCUGACCGAGCAACGCCGCGUGAGUGAAGAAGGUUUUCGGAUCGUAAAGCUCUGUUGUAAGAGAAGAACGAGUGUGAGAGUGGAAAGUUCACACUGUGACGGUAUCUUACCAGAAAGGGACGGCUAACUACGUGCCAGCAGCCGCGGUAAUACGUAGGUCCCGAGCGUUGUCCGGAUUUAUUGGGCGUAAAGCGAGCGCAGGCGGUUAGAUAAGUCUGAAGUUAAAGGCUGUGGCUUAACCAUAGUACGCUUUGGAAACUGUUUAACUUGAGUGCAAGAGGGGAGAGUGGAAUUCCAUGUGUAGCGGUGAAAUGCGUAGAUAUAUGGAGGAACACCGGUGGCGAAAGCGGCUCUCUGGCUUGUAACUGACGCUGAGGCUCGAAAGCGUGGGGAGCAAACAGG